rnacentral:rRNA from 1 species
GGUGCUUGCACUUGAAAGAUUUAACAUUGAGACGAGUGGCGAACUGGUGAGUAACACGUGGGUAACCUGCCCUUGAAGUAGGGGAUAACACUUGGAAACAGGUGCUAAUACCGUAUAACAACCAAAACCACCUGGUUUUGGUUUAAAAGACGGCUUCGGCUGUCACUUUAGGAUGGACCCGCGGCGUAUUAGCUUGUUGGUAAGGUAACGGCUUACCAAGGCGAUGAUACGUAGCCGACCUGAGAGGGUAAUCGGCCACAUUGGGACUGAGACACGGCCCAAACUCCUACGGGAGGCAGCAGUAGGGAAUCUUCCACAAUGGACGAAAGUCUGAUGGAGCAACGCCGCGUGAGUGAUGAAGGGUUUCGGCUCGUAAAACUCUGUUGUUGGAGAAGAACAGGUGUCAGAGUAACUGUUGACAUCUUGACGGUAUCCAACCAGAAAGCCACGGCUAACUACGUGCCAGCAGCCGCGGUAAUACGUAGGUGGCAAGCGUUGUCCGGAUUUAUUGGGCGUAAAGCGAGCGCAGGCGGUUUUUUAGGUCUGAUGUGAAAGCCUUCGGCUUAACCGGAGAAGUGCAUCGGAAACCGGGAGACUUGAGUGCAGAAGAGGACAGUGGAACUCCAUGUGUAGCGGUGAAAUGCGUAGAUAUAUGGAAGAACACCAGUGGCGAAGGCGGCUGUCUGGUCUGUAACUGACGCUGAGGCUCGAAAGCAUGGGUAGCGAACAGGAUUAGAUACCCUGGUAGUCCAUGCCGUAAACGAUGAGUGCUAAGUGUUGGAGGGUUUCCGCCCUUCAGUGCUGCAGCUAACGCAUUAAGCACUCCGCCUGGGGAGUACGACCGCAAGGUUGAAACUCAAAGGAAUUGACGGGGGCCCGCACAAGCGGUGGAGCAUGUGGUUUAAUUCGAUGCUACGCGAAGAACCUUACCAGGUCUUGACAUCUUCUGCCAACUUAAAAGAUUAGGCGUUCCCUUCGGGGACAGAAUGACAGG